CGUCGUUUGGAUACACCUUUUCACCACCUGUUCGUGUAGCUCCAGGCGUUUAAAGUUUGAGAGACUCGCUUACAGAGAUAAUCUUGGAGGAAGUGAUAAGGAGGAUAACUGUCUUACCUGAUCCCAGACAUCCAUCAACAUAACAUCAUCCUCUGCCAGGUCAUCUUGGUUAAACUCACCAGAGCAGGCGAAGAGGCGGGGAGGAUGUGCUAUAGAUUUGCUCUCCAACAUCUCUGAUGUCUGAUAUUCCAUCUUUCCACCCAGAGCUUUCCAGAAGUCCUCUUUCAAUGGGCAACAAGUCAACAAUGAAGCAGUCACCGUUGUUGAAACUGGCCCAGGCGAGAGGCACUUCUGUGGCCCGGACAGUGCGCCUGCCCUUGACGUGGAAGAGCCGGCAAGCAGUAAGAUCAUUGGUGACCACGUGUUGAAACCCU